rnacentral:rRNA from 1 species
UAGGGAAUCUUCCACAAUGGACGCAAGUCUGAUGGAGCAACGCCGCGUGAGUGAAGAAGGUUUUCGGAUCGUAAAGCUCUGUUGUUGGUGAAGAAGGAUAGAGGCAGUAACUGGUCUUUAUUUGACGGUAAUCAACCAGAAAGUCACGGCUAACUACGUGCCAGCAGCCGCGGUAAUACGUAGGUGGCAAGCUUUGUCCGGAUUUAUUGGUCGUAAAGCGAGCGCAGGCGGAAUGAUAAGUCUGAUGUGAAAGCCCACGGCUCAACCGUGGAACUGCAUCGGAAACUGUCAUUCUUGAGUGCAGAAGAGGAGAGUGGAAUUCCAUGUGUAGCGGUGGAAUGCGUAGAUAUAUGGAAGAACACCAGAGGAGAAGGCGGCUCUCUGGUCUGCAACUGACGCUGAGGAUCGAAAGCAUGGGUAGCGAACAGG